rnacentral:rRNA from 1 species
GCCCUAGUACGGCGAGUGAAGCGGCAACAGCUCAAAUUUGAAAUCUGGCGUCUUUGGCGUCCGAGUUGUAAUUUGCAGAGGGCGCUUUGGCAUUGGCAGCGGUCCAAGUUCCUUGGAACAGGACGUCACAGAGGGUGAGAAUCCCGUACGUGGUCGCUAGCCUUUACCGUGUAAAGCCCCUUCGACGAGUCGAGUUGUUUGGGAAUGCAGCUCUAAAUGGGAGGUAAAUUUCUUCUAAAGCUAAAUACUGGCCAGAGACCGAUAGCGCACAAGUAGAGUGAUCGAAAGAUGAAAAGCACUUUGGAAAGAGAGUUAAAAAGCACGUGAAAUUGUUGAAAGGGAAGCGCUUGCAGCCAGACUUGCCUGUAGUUGCUCAUCCGGGUUUCUACCCGGUGCACUCUUCUAUAGGCAGGCCAGCAUCAGUUUGGGCGGUUGGAUAAAGGUCUCUGUCAUGUACCUCCUCUCGGGGAGAACUUAUAGGGGAGACGACAUGCAACCAGCCUGGACUGAGGUCCGCGCAUCUGCUAGGAUGCUGGCGUAAUGGCUGUAAGCGGCCCGUCUUGAAACACGGACCAAGGAGUCUAACAUCUAUGCGAGUGUUUGGGUGUCAAGCCCGAACGCGUAAUGAAAGUGAACGGAGGUGGGAACCUUUCGGGGUGCACCAUCGACCGAUCCUGAUGUCUUCGGAUGGAUUUGAGUAAGAGCAUAGCUGUUGGGACCCGAAAGAUGGUGAACUAUGCUUGAAUAGGGUGAAGC